AACGUGAGUCGCGACGGUCAGCUUUUCGGGAAAACGUGGUUGUUUUGCGUUUUUUGUGUCGUGAGAAGAUUUUGUUUAGUGUGUGUUUGUGUCUGUGUUACUCUCUACUCGCCAGCUCUCACUUUUGAUCUGUGGUUAUUUAGGAAGGAAAGCUUUGCCCCCUGUUCGUUCGCCCACUGGCGGUGCUGUCAUCCGCGCGCGCGAGACAUCUCUCGAACCGGACGGGGUCAAAGGGGGCCAUUCCGUACCUUCGUGUACGGAGUGCGACGCGAGAAGAGACUCGAAGAAGAAUAAAUUGUUAUUGCCGAGGAAGUAGUACGAACGGUUCUAGUGAGAGAAGUUGUUUUCUGUGCCUCAUCGCGUGACCUUCUGUGCCGUACGGCAGAAAACAAAAUUAAUCUAUCCAAGUGAAAAUUGAUCAGCUGACAUCCGAAAUCGAGCAAACGAGACUAACUGGAGUGAGUGGGACUCGUCGUCACCAUUACGUGGGAAAACAGUGAACAUUAUUAAACUAAUUAUAAAACCAUUUGCUGCUAUAAUAUUGCACAGCUUUUUGGCGUGUCUCGUUCAGCGGAAAGUGGGGAUUGGAGCAGUAAAUUAAACGCAACUCAUCGUAUAACCAUUACGUCUAGAAGCGAUUAAAAUUUCUUUUCUCACUUCCGAAAGACGGCGCGCGUGAAUCAUUAUCGUACACAAUCCUAUCAAUCAUCAUAUUAAAAGAAAAUCACUAGUUUUUAUUUUCGCACGAUGUGAAAAAGUGAAUACUCCCAGAAAGCGAACGAAACUACAAAUAAAAAGAAGAAAAAAAGCAGAGUGUAAAAAAUUGACCCAAUAUCUCAUGGCAACAUUCAACGUUAGCAACAUUGCCACAGAGGAAAACCGGUUCGGGUCGGAAUCAAAACAAAAAAAUUGCUACAGACUUGCGAGGAAGCUACUACAAAGUGUCACUCACGGCGAGGAAGCAGACGUUGAAAAAUAAAAUAACAAAUCAUUAUCAUUAUCACCGCUCUGGAAGUGUGAAAAAUCAAGGAAACGAAAGGCUCGGAUAAAUAAAUAAAUAAAUAAAACAGAAGAGGAAGAUUGAAUUAAAUGUGUCAGCAGCGACUAAUCUUCAGCUUGUGGGGUUGACAUCUGAGUUUUUUUUGCUACGGAAGAGUGCUGAUGGUGUGACUGCAGACGGCUGAUCAUUUUUGUGCAAGUGUCGCGAAGUGCAGUAAGAGUGUGUUUUACCAUACAGCUUAUAGUUAGUUCGGUAGUCGUUUGCCGGUGUUUUUACCUUUUGCGGUGUUGUGCGUGUCGUACCAUACUCAGUGCAAGAAGAAUAGUGCAAGAGGAAAGAAAUAAACCGAUUAUCGUGUGUAUGUGACGAUUUUCUAAACUACUGAAAUCUCAGAGCUAUUGCUAGCAUCAAAUACGUGGGAGCAAUAGAUUGUCUGAAGCGCGGUGAUUGGAGUGGUUUUUGGACCACGCGUUGGAUUUUAACGGUGCUGAUAUUUUGGACAGAGAGGCCAUUUUAAAAGUAAGCUGACUUUACACACGUAAUCAAGUUCAAUACUUUCUAGAACGGUAAGCCUUGUCAGUUAAUUAUAUUGCGCAAAAACAUAAAAGCGAAAACUAUAUAUCAAGAAAACUUACCACUGAGAACUGACACACAGGUAGUUUUUUUUAAUGUGUGUAUGGAAUAAAACUGCCGUUUUGAAAUGCCACCAGCAAGUAGCAACUUACCGCUAGCCAGCGCUACGAUCGGCCAACAAACGCUAUACGGGCGUUGCGUGCAAACUUGGAUACAAUGAUAAUUCAUGCAAGC